UACGUAGGGUGCAAGCGUUGUCCGGAAUUAUUGGGCGUAAAGAGCUCGUAGGCGGUCUGUCGCGUCUGCUGUGAAAACUCAGGGCUUAACCCUGAGCUUGCAGUGGGUACGGGCAGACUAGAGUGCGGUAGGGGAGACUGGAAUUCCCGGUGUAGCGGUGAAAUGCGCAGAUAUCGGGAGGAACACCAGUAGCGAAGGCGGCUCGCUGGGCCACACCUGACGCUGAGACGCGAAAGCUAGGGGAGCGAACAGG
rnacentral:rRNA from 1 species